CCAGCCUGGGAAGAAGCCUCCCACGCCAGGGCCCCGGACCCAGGAGAGGCCAUGGAAAGCCUGAACCCCAGCUGGCUGACACCCCCCACACCCCCAAGGGCCCUUAGUCUGAGACCAACUCUCCUGGACACCUGGGGCCCACGCAGGCCCUCCGUGCCCCAGUUACCUGUGCCCUGGGGGCAGCCACGGAGUCACGACCACGCGGGGGACGCCAGCCCACAGGAGGAGGCCGGUUUCGAGGCGGCUGGCAGCCGCCCCCCCACCCCAUGCCCUUUGGGUGGCACCUGUGCUGGUGGAGUGGGGGUGGCUGGCUUUGCACACAGGCCUGCUCCUGUGCCGUGCUGUGACAGCCAUGAAGGAAGAACCUGGCUGAGUCUCCACCUGCCGUGGACUGUACCAGGUUUGGGGAGGCCAGGCACUGCUAAGGGUCAGUCUGCCCAGACCAGUGUGGACACACCAAGUGCCUGCGAGCCCCUGGGAGCUGCCCGUGCCAGGCUGGAGUGCCAGGGAGGGGCGAGGACAGCUGCAGCCCCGAGAUGUAAACAGGCUUGCAGGUAUAAAAGCUGGAGCCCCUGGGCCUCUCCACACCUCAGCCUGACCCACCUUCCAGAACUCUCGAAAGAAGCCAGGCAGAGGACCCAGCACCAGGCGGCGUCUACGUCUGCUCUGGCCCAAGCAGCACCCCCAAUCCGUGCGUGCACCCCACGAAUUGACUCCCUAUCCACCCAGGACCAGGAUGGAGGAGGACUUCUCCUCCCAGAUGAAGAAGAUGGCCUUGGCCAUGGGCACGUCCCUAUCAGACAAGGACAUUGAGCUGCUGCCCACGGACAUGAGACACCACGGUACAGCAUGCCCCCGCCUGGCACGGCCCCCCACCCGUCCAGCCCCCCUGUGGUCAGGAGACCUCAUCCCUUUCCUGGGGCUGAUGGGUCCAGGACACCAGGACCUGCGGCGGGCGGGGACAUGGGGGUGCAGGACCCGGCAGCCCCCAUCCCAGGGCGGGGUCUUCCCUGGAGGCCCAGCUGAAGUGAGGUGGGCCCCUCCGUGAGCCCCGCCUGGUUGCCCCAGGGUCCUUCAACUACCUCAAGUUCUUCGAGCACAUGCGCAAGCUCCACGCCUCGGGCCAGCUGGACGACGCCAUCCACAGGGCCUUCCAGUCCCUGGACAAGGACAAGAGCGGCUUCAUUGAGUGGAACGAGAUCAAGUAAUGGCUGGCGGCCAGGGAGGGGUGGGGCCCAGGCCACCCAGACCACGCCGAAUGCCCACCUGGCAGACCCGGCCUUCCCCCACCGGGUCCCCGCUGGCCUUGCAGCUGGCAGGGCUGGGCCAGAACCGGCUAGAGGCCCAGGAGGCCCAGAGGCCCGGGCUCCCGGCCCAAAGUGCCCUCGCCUACAAAGUGGGGGACGAACGGCUCGUGAGUCACUGGGCACUGGCCGGAAGCCCCUUGGCCCUGACUCGAGCCCCCUCGGCCCCAGGUACAUCCUGUCC
rnacentral:sRNA from 1 species